rnacentral:lncRNA from 1 species
AAGACUUUGUUAGAUAUAGUUGUCUAGGUUGACAGUACUGCUCUCUCAGGGCUUCAAAUAUAUAAUUUCCAGCCCUCUUGGCUUGCAGUGCUUAGGCAAAGGAAACUGCUAUUCUGAUGAGUUUUUCUUUAUUUGUAACACUAUGCAUCUCUCCUGAAGACUUCACUAUUGUCCUUUUGUUCUGCAGUCUUAGCACUGUAGCUAUAAUGUGAUAUAAAGAGGCUCGUCUCCUGCCAUGUGUGUGUCGCAUUCUAAUGCCCUCUGGGACCACAUGUUCAUCUUGUUCCCAGGACUUGGGUCAUUUUCUGUGACUAUUUUGUUCAAUGUGUUUUCUAUGCGUUUAGCUUAUGCUUUAUCUCCUUUUCUGUGCUCACAACUCACAAGUUUUCUUCUUUGAGUGUCAUUUCAGAAGCUUGUGCGUUCUGCUCACUCUGUGUUUUUAUUGCUCUAUGGAUGAAUAUCAUAAUUGGUCUGCUUUCCCACAAGCCUUGCUGCUCUGACUUCAGUCCAGUACUGGGGAAGCUUUUGAUUUAGUUCUUUUUUUUUUAACUUGCUGAGCUUUUAAUUUGUAAUAUUCAACUUGAGUUUUUGUUCAUUCAGAAUUCCAUCUAUCCAUUGAGUUCUUCUUUUACGUUGAGCAUUGAGUUUCUUAUUUGGUAUGCUCCUUACUUGUAUCCUCAUACGGUAUUGAUCUGUAUCCACUCAUAAUUUUUUUUCUCAUUUUUGUAGUUAUUUUUUAAGUUCUCUGUAAUUCCAUCCAUUCUUUAUUGUAAUCAUUUACUGUGGGAUGGGUACCUUUUGGAAAAAACCGUUUUGCUUUUAUUAUUAUUUUUUUUGUUUGCAUUUCUGCAUUGGAAUUUGUUCAUUUGGGGCCAAAGUGCUGACUAAGAGUUUUGAUUUCUUGGAUUCUCUUAGAUGACAUGGAUGCUGUCAGGGUUGAGGUGCAGGGUCUCUAGGACUUGGAUGCAGCCAGCUCAAUGCCUAUGCACAUUCAUGGCAGAAGGGAUUCUAGUGUCACUAAGAUGAGAACUACAGUAGUAGCUAUAAGGAUGAUAACCUGCCAUGGAAAUCAGUACUAAUCAAUUAAAAUAGUUCAUUAUCAUAACUAUAAUAACAGCAGAGAAAAAAGAUAUGAUAACAUUGAGCAAACUAAGAGAUAUUAAGGAAUAAGGACAGGAGUGGGAAAAAAGGAAGAAGGGUACUAGAAAAAGAGACAAUGGGGAAGGGGAGAAACACAUGAGAGAGGGGAAUAAUAUAAGACAGUAAAUACAACUAGAAGUAAAUAGUGAUUUCUAUUGCUGCACAGGUCUGUUUACCAAUAUCUUAACUUUCAUUGGCCUAUACACCAUGUUAUUUAACAAUAGCAGAAAGAGUGAGUAACAGUCAGCUGUCCUAGAGGCGAGGAUGGGAAGAUUUGCCAUUGCCAACAUCCCAUGUAGGACAGACAGCAGAAAAUAGAAAUAAAGUGGAGUUUUCUCACAAUCGAAAUAUUCUAAGUCUCUUCUUAAGCUUUCUUAAUAUUUGAGAUAAUCCUGAGGAGAGGGUGCAUAUCAGUCUCCUAAUUAAGAUUUCUUUGAAGCAACAAUUACAAUUAUUUAGAAGACUGAAAAUAUAUGGUUUAAAUCUCAGCUGGCGUUUGGGGUAUUCUGUGAAGAAUACGAUUAGACAAGAAGCAGGAAAUUGGUCUCCAUUGAAUUAUUUGAUCAGAGGAGAUGAUUGGAAUUUUACUAAUGAAAAUUUGCUACCAAAGAUAGGCACAUUAUUUUACACUUUAUAACUCUAACACACUAUUAUUUACAAUGAUACACUAAAAAUAUUAAAAAUGCAUGAGAUUUAAUUUUUUUAUCAUCAUCCAUCCGUUGAACCCUGAGAGUGGUAGAUCUAAGUUUUAGCUGCAAACAAUGUCAGGGGCUGCCUCCUCCUUUGUGGGCUCACAAUUUACAUAUUUGGGUGUUCUUGAAAAGAGAACAGCUAAAACUGUCUAACUGUCCCUAAGUAUGUAACUCAUAUCUGCUGUCUUCUAAAAGAAACUAAGGGGUCACUUAUCUUGUGACUGUGUAGAGUCUUGCAGCAACAGUGUAUUUGUAUAGUAUAAAUGGUUACAUAAUACUGUAUGUAAAGCAUCAGUGUGCAGGUUGAAAUUACAUGAUAAGAUAUGUGGCACGAAAGUGUAAUAAUUAAUUGAAUGACAGACACACAUGUGACUACUGUCUGGAGAUGUAACUCUGUCACUCUAUUAACUGAACAUCUAUAGCAGGUCUUGCAUGGUGCUGCCUGGCAUUCCUGGUUCUAUUUUAGUAGGUAGUGUUAAGUUAGUAUAUGACUGUAAAUAAGUGUUUUUAAAGAGAAAUUUUAGUCUUGAUUCCUGUUUUCUUUAACAUCAGGAGGUAUGCAAUUGCGGAUUUUGUUUUUAAUUUUUCUACGCAGUUAUAAUAAAGUUCAGUGGAGUGGCUAGGGUGAGUGAAAUGAAAAAGACUUCCCAUUUGUAUAAACAGAGGCUUUCUAGGAGAAUACAUGUCUGCACUUGGCCCAUUGCUUUGGUAGCGUCAAGGGUUAAACGUCAUCAAGAUGAUACCAAAUACAGCCCUCUUCCUCAGUAUUUCUUAUGCUGACUCCUGUUAGGAAUUAAAGUAUUGGUGUGUAUUGUGGUGUAUAAUGUUUCUACAUGGAACCCAGCACGGUAUAAUUGUAUCGCUGGAGACUUGUCUGGUGAGCCAAAUAUUGAGA